rnacentral:rRNA from 1 species
UGGCCCUACGGGACGCAGCAGUGGGGAAUAUUGCACAAUGGGGGAAACCCUGAUGCAGCGACGCCGCGUGAGUGAAGAAGUAUUUCGGUAUGUAAAGCUCUAUCAGCAGGGAAGAAGAAAGACGGUACCUGACUAAGAAGCACCGGCUAAAUACGUGCCAGCAGCCGCGGUAAUACGUAUGGUGCAAGCGUUAUCCGGAUUUACUGGGUGUAAAGGGAGCGCAGGCGGUGCGGCAAGUCUGAUGUGAAAGCCCGGGGCUCAACCCCGGGACUGCAUUGGAAACUACCGAACUAGAGCGUCGGAGG